rnacentral:tRNA from 1 species
UUUUUAAUUGACAUAGACCAAGUCCUCCAGUAAAAUGAGUAUUAUGCAUCGGGAAUAGCC